UGAGAGAGAGAGAGAGAGAGAGAGAGGCAGACAGACAGAGAGAGAGAGAGAGAGAGAGAGAGAGAUUUGCAUUAGGCCAAGUGGUAAAUUUUAAAUUAUUCACAUUUUUCCACGUUUUCUUUUUUUCCUCUUUUGUGUCCAUGGAGGAAACCACUCUCUAUUCCCUCAGUGCUUCAGUGUACACCAUGGAGCAGACGAACUACAUGUUUGAGAGAUUUUGAGAGAAAAUAAAUUAGAACGGUUUUAAUGGAACUGAGUGUUUUAAUGCGCCGCACCUGAGCGCCUUCCACCUGGGCUCGUCGUAGCUUCUUCACGCAUGCGCGUUCACCUGCCUGGAGCACAUCCACAGAGAGACUGGAGAUUCCGCCAUGUUUGUUAUGCGAUGAUUCCCAUGCUCUAAGCCGAAACCAAGGAAUAUGAGAAAAUCUGCCUCAGGGUUCCAUGUGCUCUGCAUGUUGAGAUGUUUUUCUGCUCACCACCGCUGUGAAGAACGUACAAGGUACAAUAGCCUUCCUGCCAGCUCAGUCAAGUCUAACCAGUCUCCCAUGACCCUCUCUCAUCAGCAAGUCCCUGAAGGAAAGGAUGUUUUUUGGGGUUUUUUGCACACCAAAUCCCAGGAAAUCAACUCAAGGCUUCACUGUCUGGAACCAACAACCAUGUCAUAGUCAAAUGUCUUUCAUGUGAACAUUAACUGAUCUGGAGCUGUAUGAUUUUAUGCAUUGAACUACUUCCAUGUGAUUGGCUGAUUUGAUCAUUGCAUUAAUAAGCAGGUGUUCCUAAUAAAGUGGCUGAUGAAUGUAUCUUGCUUUUUUUUGUUUUUCUGGUUGUCAUUUUAAAAGAAAACACCAACAUGUUUGUUUGGGGUUGUGGUAAAAAGCAAUGGUGCUGCCGUGUGUAUAGUUGAGGGCUGAAUCAGGCGUGGUAUCGGGUGAAUCGGGCGUGGCAUCAGGCGAAUCGGGCGUGGCAUCAGGCGAAUCGGGCGUGGCAUCGGGCGAAUCUGGCGUGGUAUCGGGCGAAUCGGGUGUGGUAGCGGGCGAAUCUGGCGUGGUAUCGGGCGAAUCGGGCGUGGUAGCGGGCGAAUCGGGCGUGGUAGCGGGCGAAUCGGGUGUGGUAAAAGGGUGUGAGUAUGGUGGAAAGAUGUUUGAAGAUGGCGAUAAAGUUGGGAACAGAAUAUUGUUGCUGAAUUCCCUAUAUAUGCAAAGAAAGCCAACAGUCUUCCUUCAAGUUAACUAACCCUGUCUGUUCACCUGUCCUGAGCUCGCCCUUUGGACAGACUCUUGGCCAACCGCACCAUCAUCACUCCCUGACCGCAGCUGCCCAAAUAUUACCCCUCUCUAAGGCCACGUCCUCCAGCCAUUCUACACUCUCAGGUCACACUGGCACGCUAUUAAAUCACGCUCUUGACCACUCCCCAGUCACACCCUAUGACUCUUAAGUCCUGCUCUCAGGUCACUCUGGCUGUGCUGUACCUUCCAUGCUCAUUACCACCAAUUCCUGAACAGUCUAUGCUUCACCCCAUAGUUGAAGCUCACCCGAAUAAGUUAAAAGCCAAAAUACAGACUCAAACCAUGAUUGUGUGGCAUCAGAAACUAUAAUACAGGACAUGUAGCACAGUUGAUUAUUGGACUUUUCUCUCAACCACAUGCAAGAUUAUUCUGGACUGUUCAGGGUUGUAUGCUUACUCCUGAGUUAGAAGACAGGUUUAAGAAGUCUCUGACAGAUUCACACCAAGUGAGGUACUCUGUACACUCCAACAUCGCUCAUCCUGAGCCAUCUACAGUUACAGCCUGGUACCAACAAGCUCAUCACCCAGAAACAAAGCUCAUCUGGUUGAGCCACAGGACAUUAUACAUGGCUAGCUAGGCUUUUUGUUUUGGGGAAUUUUUACUUUUGUAUGCGUCGUUAAAACACACAGAUUCAAACCUAGGCCAGGCUGCAGGAGAAGCCCUGAUGCUAACCACUACACCACCACAGAACAGCUUAGGAGGCUGUUGUUUAUAGGAUUUUUGUCUUAAUAAAUGGUGAAGCCAGUAAAAUGUUAAAUCUAUAGCAGAGACAUCCAGAUUCAAGAUUCACUGCCUCAAAACAAUAGCAGUGUAGUGGUUAGUGUGUGUGGUUCUUGGAUCAAGUGUAAUGUAAACAUGUAAACAAUUCAGUGUUGCUCACUGGACCAUUUAUUAAGACAAAAGUCCAAGCAUUGAGUUUAGCCUUGUCCUCUUUGUGGUGUAGUGGUUAGUGCCGCAGGUUCUGGUACAUAUGAUUGCUGGAUCAAAUCUUACAGUUUUUGCGUUAGUGUUAGAGCAGGGUUAAUUGGAUGAAGGUGAAAUGUUCUACACUGCCCCUGGCCGGUACAACGUCCUGUGGCUCUUGUGGAUGAGCAUAGCCUCCAGAUUGAGAGGUCGCGGGUUCAAAUCCCCUUUCAGGACUGAUGGAUUUGGAGGAGGCUGCAUGCCCGGGAGAGGCUUAGAUGCUUGAGAAAGGAAAGAGGUGUUUGUGGCAAUGCAUGGUGUUGAAGGGCAGGUGUGUGGAGUGUUGUGUAGGAUGUUGGGGUGGCAAGUAGAGUGAGGUAGACGCUCUGUGGCUGAGGCAAG